rnacentral:rRNA from 1 species
AGCAGCCGCGGUAAUUCCAGCUCCAAUAGCGUAUAUUAAAGUUGUUGCAGUUAAAAAGCUCGUAGUUGAAUUUCGGGAUCAAUACGUCGGUCGUGCUUCGGUACGUACUGGCGUAAUUGAUUUCUCCCUUCUGACGAACCAUGAUGUCAUUAACUUGGUGUCAUGGGAAAUCAGGACUGUUACUUUGAAAAAUUAGAGUGUUUAAAGCAAGCUAACGCUUGAAUAACAUUAGCAUGGAAUAAUGAAAUAGGACGUUCGAUCCUAUUUUGUUGGUUUCUAGGAUUGACGUAAUGAUUAAUAGGGAUAGUUGGGGCAUUAGUAUUCAAUUGUCAGAGGUGAAAUUCUUGGAUUUAUUGAAGACUAACUACUGCGAAAGCAUUUGCCAAGGAUGUUUUCAUUAAUCAAGAACGAAAGUUAGGGGAUCGAAGACGAUCAG